rnacentral:lncRNA from 1 species
AGAGAGCAAGGGCGAUUGGAAAAUUCCCUUCUCUGAGGACAUGGAUAUCAGUGCUUAUGGAAAGCAAGCCGUCUGGAAGGAAGAACUCAUGAGUGACGACUGGAAAGCGAUGGCUCAAGAUUUUCGUCGGCGGAGAUACAAUGGCAAGUGAAAGUUUGAAGCAGAGACUUGUUGAGGUGUUCUCAAUGUGAGCAGUAGGUAAGGACAAGACACUCGCCACCUCCUGGGCUAAGGACCUUGGCCAGGAAGGAGGUAAUCCACUGUGGAUAUGUCUUAGUGCAACUCACCCUCUGUUGAAGACUGCUUUGUGUGAGAUGGGCAGGAUGCAGGUAUAGAUCUUCCCUACGGGUAUGCAGUUUGCUUAUAGCCGCUGACUCGAUGGAGUUUUCCGGCAAAUUUGCUCCUGUUGUCAACAGAACAAGCCUGAGACCCUCGAGCAUCUUCUAGUAGAAUGUCCGCGCUGGGAGGAGAUAAGGGAAAGAACUAUUUGGCAAAUCUUUGACAAGAGGGUCUGUCUAAUGUCGCCAGCAGCCAUCACUCGGGCUAUAGGCGUGCUCUUAGAAGGGGAGCCUGGAACUGAGCUGGUGCAGGGCAAAUCGAAAAGACAACGCAUGACCGACUGUAUCAGACCCGAUAACACGUGGAGAGGAAACGUAGGCUCGGGUAUAGUGAUAUCAACGGCCCGUUUUCUAGCAAAGUUAGUUCCUACCUGGUGGUCUAUUGUAGCACCUAAGCUACAUAGAAAGCGCCUAGGGUCGUCCUUCCAGAACCAAGGCCAAGAAGGUACGGUGGCCCUAGGUGGGCUGUAGUCUGAAGGGAGAGGUUUUAGUGAGUAAGAAUCUCACAGUACCAGGAAUCUCCUGGUCUCUUAUGAAGAUUUCCUCUCCUUGGCGAAAAAAAAAAAAAAAGACAAUCACAUUAUAUACUGUAGUAGUUUAUUACAGAAAAUUAUCAAUAUCAUCACUUGUUACAAGAAGAUGAACUUUUAUG